AUUGAACGCUGGCGGCAGGCCUAACACAUGCAAGUCGAACGAGGGGCGGACGGGUGAGUAAUGUCUGGGAAACUGCCUGAAGGAGGGGGAUAACUACUGGAAACGGUAGCUUAUACCGCAUACCAUCAGAUGUGCCCAGAGGGGAUUAGCUAGUGGGUGGGGUAACGGUUCACCAAGGCGACGAUCCCUAGCUGGUCUGAUAGGAUGACCGGCCACACUGGAACUGAGACACGCUCCCGACUCCUACGGGAGGCAGCAGUGGGGAAUAAUGCACAAUUGGCUCAAGCCUGAUGCAGUCAUGCCGCGUGUAUGAAGAAGGCCUUCGGGUUGUAAAGUACUUGCAGCGUGGAGGCGUUACCCUCAGAAGACGCACCGGCUAACUCCGUGCCAGCAGCCGCGGUAAUUC
rnacentral:rRNA from 1 species